UCCACUGCCCUUUAGGUCCUUGGCCUCUGCUCUGAUAGCCCAAUCCACCGCCCUCUAGGUCCUCAGCCUCUGCUCUGAUAGCCCAAUCCACUGCCUGUAGUGUAGCUAUACCCCCCUACUUACAGCCCUGUUAAGGUUUUUAUUCCCACCCACCCCUCCCCCCAUUUGUAUCACCACUGUAUUUGUGUACUUAAAAUUGUGUAAAUAAAUUAAUAAGUACUUGUA